UACAGAGGGGGCAAGCGUUGUUCGGAAUUACUGGGCGUAAAGGGCGCGUAGGCGGCCAACUAAGUCAGACGUGAAAUCCCCAGGCUCAACCUGGGAACUGCGUCUGAUACUGGAUGGCUCGAGUUCGGGAGAGGGAAGCGGAAUUCCAGGUGUAGCGGUGAAAUGCGUAGAUAUCUGGAGGAACACCGGUGGCGAAGGCGGCUCCCUGGACCGACACUGACGCUGAGGCGCGAAAGCCAGGGGAGCAAACGGG
rnacentral:rRNA from 1 species